rnacentral:lncRNA from 1 species
CUGGGGAAAACCACCUGCAGGCAGAUUGCUUUCAAAUGUGGUCUUGCAAAUCACUCUGAAACCAAGGGAGCCAGCCCUAGCCAUAGUGCUUUUAAUGCAUGGAGACAAGGACCAUCUCCCCUCCAUGCUGACCUGUGCUCCAAUGCAAUUACCUCUGCAGCUGAUUGUACAAGUCUCUUCCUCACAAGAUUGAUCCCACAUCCCUGCCAAUAUGAACCCUUCUGUGCUUUCUAAGGCAACAACAACAGCAUAAAUCAAUGGUCUGCCACGACAAGCUUCAGUGGAUUCAGGGAACCAUUAAACCUGUUGCUCAAAAGCCUUGGUCCUAUUCUGAGCAAAGUUUCAGCUGUUCCUGUUCCUGGCUAUACAACCUACUGAGGUAGGUUCUGACCCUGAAAAACAGAUUUGGCCUCCUGGUUUGACUUCAGACCUGCCUGGUCACUACAGGCUUGUCUAGUAAUCUUGACUCUUAGCUGGAGCCAGCUUCUGUCCCUGGACCUGUUUUGCCCGCAUUGCUGGGGUGCUGCAGGGCUAGGUUGCUGAGAGCCAUGCCCUGCUUGCUUUGCUGCUGUGCUCAGCUCCUGACUUGCCUUCCUUUACUGAG